GAUGAACGCUAGCUACAGGCUUAACACAUGCAAGUCGAGGGGAAACGAUGAGAGAGCUUGCUCUCUUAGUCGUCGACCGGCGCACGGGUGAGUAACGCGUAUCCAACCUGCCUCUGACCAAGGGAUAACCCGUCGAAAGUCGGACUAAUACCUUAUGCAGUCGUCGGAAGUCAUCUGAUGACGACGAAAGAUUUCAUCGGUGAGAGAUGGGGAUGCGUCUGAUUAGCUUGUUGGCGGGGUAACGGCCCACCAAGGCGACGAUCAGUAGGGGUUCUGAGAGGAAGGUCCCCCAAAUUGGAACUGAGACACGGUCCAAACUCCUACGGGAGGCAGCAGUGAGGAAUAUUGGUCAAUGGGCGUAAGCCUGAACCAGCCAAGUAGCGUGCAGGAUGACGGCCCUAUGGGUUGUAAACUGCUUUUAGGCGGGGAUAAAGUGAGGGACGUGUCCUUCAUUGCAGGUACCGCAUGAAUAAGGACCGGCUAAUUCCGUG
rnacentral:rRNA from 1 species